rnacentral:rRNA from 1 species
CCUUAUUGGAGAGUUUGAUCCUGGCUCAGGACGAACGCUGGCGGCGUGCCUAAUACAUGCAAGUCGAGCGGAGUUUAUCCUUCGGGAUAAGCUUAGCGGCGGACGGGUGAGUAACACGUAGGCAACCUGCCCCUUAGCCUG